UAGAGUUUGAUCCUGGCUCAGGACGAACGCUGGCGGCGUGCCUAGUACAUGCAAGUCGAGCGAAUGGAUGGGAGCUUGCUCCCUGAAGUUAGCGGCGGACGGGUGAGUAACACGUGGGCAACCUGCCUGUAAGACUGGGAUAACUUCGGGAAACCGGAGCUAAUACCGGAUAAUUUCUUUCUUCACAUGGAGAGAGGUUGAAGGACGGCUUCGGCUGUCACUUACAGAUGGGCCCGCGGCGCAUUAGCUAGUUGGUGAGGUAACGGCUCACCAAGGCGACGAUGCGUAGCCGACCUGAGAGGGUGAUCGGCCACACUGGGACUGAGACACGGCCCAGACUCCUACGGGAGGCAGCAGUAGGGAAUCUUCCGCAAUGGACGAAAGUCUGACGGAGCAACGCCGCGUGAACGAAGAAGGCCUUCGGGUCGUAAAGUUCUGUUGUUAGGGAAGAACAAGUACCAGAGUAACUGCUGGUACCUUGACGGUACCUAACCAGAAAGCCACGGCUAACUACGUGCCAGCAGCCGCGGUAAU
rnacentral:rRNA from 1 species